rnacentral:lncRNA from 1 species
ACAAAAUCGAAGCAGAUCAUCUUCCCCCAAAAAAAACCUAAUCCCACAACGAAUCCCCUGCAACGACAAUCGUGGUUUGCACAUGUGGAGCCUCAUCCUGGGCAACGUCGAUUUCAUCGCUGUGGAUUUGUUGAAACAGUAGAAAUAAGAUAGUUCUAUUGUUCGUUUGGAAGGGUAAUGGUCACUCAAUGGUAACAAAAUGUGAAAGCCAAUUAGAAGGCAGCUGGACAGCACUGGAGGCUUGGAAAAGUGGCAAUAAAGUUACCUAAGAAUAAAAUGGAUGUUUUUAUUAAAUAAAUAGGAUUUAUUCCUAUGAAAUGUGUGUAUUGAAAACUUGGGUUUUACCCAUAUGUUUAGUAUUAUUAAACGAGGUGGU